ACCCAUGCUGGGGCCUUAGUAAUUUUAGUGGUAAUUCAGAGAACUAAUCACUGUAUUUUAACAGUGUGGCAUGGUGAAUUACAUAAUUUAGUGGAAUUACUGCCUAACAGUCUUAUGUCUGCCGCUAUUAUUCCUAGAUGAGUGGGGGAAAGGGGAGAGAGAGAGAAAGAGGAGAGAGAGAGAGAGAGAGAGAGAGAGAGAGAGAGAGAGAGAGAGAGAGAGAGCGCACACAGGCUCCAGAGUGGCUUUAUUAGCAGGUUUGAAAUCGGUCCCUGAGGGUGACUGCUGUCUCUGGCAGAAAAAGAACAAAUAAUCAGAGCGACCUUGACUGGAUUUUGUCAACCAGGGAAGCUGUCUCCUUUGCUGCAGAGGGCCCACAGAGUUUGGAUCAAGGAAACGUCCUCAUCAGUAUUGGAAGUGUCAAUCCCUGUGCUCAGCUGACCAUCACCCGUCCAUCAUGGGACAGACGGCGUCUCUCAGGGGAGAAAACAAAGCUACCUGCAUGAGAGGGUUCUUGGAAGAUGGAGCGGGGGAGUUAAGGGGAUCACUGUAGCUGCAUCAGCCAGUAUCCAGCCAGUUCAACACUCUAAUCAAGGAUAUAGUGGAAGGGAUUCAAUUCAGGAGGCUGGUGGCUCCAUGAGGAAGCAGCAGGAGAUGGGCAUCCUGUGGUUGGCAGCAGCAGGAAGCCAUGACCCCCCCCCACCCCAGCCUGCAGAUCAGGGAGGAAGCAAUGCACAUGAUCCAGGGGCAGGAGUGGGUCACCAAGGUGGGGCUACAGAAGAACCAGCAGCCCCAGCUGAGACUCCAGCAGUUCUCUUCUACUCACCUCCUUAUCUCCUGCCUUGGACUUGAAGACCGACUAUCCUCCCCUCCGCAUAGCUAACAGCCCACGUGAAGACUCUGACCGCUGAGAGCAUGUCCUCUUUCUUCAGUCACCUUGCUGUCUGUGACAACUCAUGCAUGCAGUGGUCGCAGCAUGGCCGUGGAGUGGAAGUGGAGGUCCGCCAGCCCCUCUUCUGCUGGUGCCUGGGCAUUCGCCUGCGGAGAGCAGUGGAGGUGGUCAUACCAGAGCAGCAGUUGGGGAAGGCAGCCUCGUGGCCUGCAGGGGACAGGACGUGGGCUGCAUGACUGAGCCUCUGGAACCCACUGAGGCGUGAGCGAUCCACGCGUUCACUCACUAACUCCUUCCUUUCUUCUUGGAUUACUUGGAUACUACAUGCAGGAUAACGAGCAGAUAGAGUCCACUCACUUGCAGAAAUUCCCUGCUUCUCUGACAAAAGGCAAAAUGAUCAAAGAAAUGGACAGACUCCAUGAAGGUGCAUGAGUGAGGAUCCUGUGUAUUAAGGAUGAAAACGAGCCGUGUUCAAGGCUGUGAAACAGGCCUCCAGGUGUCUACUCACCCAGGCUAAGCAGGAGUAAAGACCCUGGGGCCCUCGACUCUAUCACAACAUAGAACCUGGGAAAGACAAUUCAAAACUAAUCUCCCCUCACUAUUAGUCAAUCAGAUUUUCCUCCAGACCCUUCUAUCUUGGAUUUUUAAAAAACAGUCAUGCUGUGUGAAGAGACUCUGAGCUGUAGUCCCCACGGCAUUCUCCUAAGUGUGCUUGCAACUUGCAGGAGAGAAGUCACCUGUGUUGUAAGGAGCAGAGCUGGCCCAUGAGAGGACCCAGAGUGAGUCAGCCUCAGCUCCGUAACUUGGUGAUGCUGCGCCAUUAAAAUGGGGUAAAGUCUUAUAUUUUGUCCCCAUAUCUGGGUGUGAAAAUCCAGUGAGAUAUUACAGAAUGUUUCUAUAAGCCGCAUUGUGAUGGGCCAAUCUAAUAUCUUUUAGGGGAAGUUUCUGAACUCAUGAGGAAUACCAUAUGAUCACCAUAUGGUUAGUAAAGAAUCAUAAACCACAUUCUCUGAAAAUUUUUACAUGCAAAUGAGUUUCCUGCCCUGGAAUGUGUGCCAUAGUGCAGCAUUUUCUCCAGAGAGUUCAGUGGAGCCAUAUUCAUCCACCGGUUUACUCACCGGUAAGCACUGGUGCAGUUCCUGCUAUGUAUCCAGUCCCAGGCUGGGCCCCGGGUAUUCAGGAAAGGCAGCAAAGUGCUUGUACUCUGGACCCCUGGAUCUGGUGGACAGGGUAGUCACAGGAGACCAAGUAUAACAUGGCUAGACUGGUCCCAGCACAGCCUGGAGGCAGAAUGGGACCCAGGACCACUUCCCAAGGAAGGAGCUUUGGUGCUGAGACCCUGCUUGCUGCAAGAGGAAGAGAGAGGGCGGACAGGGGUGGGCUCAGUGAGGGCUCUCAAAAUCUAGUUGCUGUCCACAAAAAGGGUCCAAAAUGCACGACAUUUGCAAGUGUGCACUGAGGUUUAUUCAGAAUCCUCUGUGUUAAUUAAUUUAUUGGUCAAAAAGUAAAAGAUGGGAAUCAGGGAUCCACAUUUUUUAUACCAAACAUUCCAAUUUUGACGAAGGUUUUAAAAAUGUGGGUGUAUAUCAAGAAAAGAAAAAAAAUGGGAAGACUUGCUGAGAAAUGGAGUUUGGGGAAUUUAGUAGAACUUCCUUAGAAAGUUCUAAACUGCAUUUACAAGCAUACUGGGGAAUUUUUAAAUAACUCAGACAUCUUCUGUGGUUUGACCCACACAAGUCUUGUCUUGCCAAACAAUUUGCUAAUUCAAAUUACUAGAUAGAAUGGUAACAAUGGAAAUUAAAAUGUUCCAUCUGUGUAUACAGUUAUAGUGGCUAUCUCUAAGGACUUAUGCUGAUUGUGAAUUAGAUAAAUCACACAGAAAUUCAAAUUUAAUGCUACUUUUAAUGGUACUUCUAGGAUAUCAAUUUGGAUUAGGCAUGGUGUCAGCAGAAGACAACCAGCUUGGGAAGAAAGAGGGGCCAGGGCAGCCUCAAUGUGCACUGAGGCCUUGUCUGUGAAAGGUAGUUGUUAGUUCCCAUCUCAGCUGUGUUCUGUGAGAUCCAUCACGUGUUCUUAUCAGUGGUGCAUGUAAAGCAUUUAGGAUGAUGCCAGGUGCAUAGUAAGUGUUCAUCAAUCUGAGCAAUGACACUACUUUUGUUAACUUCCAAAGGCCUGAUAUGGGCUUGUUUCCUGCAUCCGCUCACUGCUCUACACCCAGAAAAGGGUAGGCAUGGACACCGGAAAUUGUUCAUAGGGACAUUUAAAUAACAGAACAAGUGUCUUCCUAGAGAAACAGUGUGGCGAGCUUUGCUGAGUCUCCCCAGCACCAGAUCUUGACUGUGGGUGAUGGGUGCUGUGGUUUCUAGCUGGGUGUGGCUGCCAAGUUAAGAUGCCACGUCUGCAGCCUUUCCUAGGCUAACAACACUGUAUGGCUCCGUUUGGGGCCUAGGAGAAGCAAGAGGAUUGUUCUAUGCAACUUCCAGAAGAGCUCUUAAAAAGUCUCCCCUUCCAUACCUUCUCCGUCCUUCCUGCAGAAGGAGCCAGGCAGUGCCAGCUGCCAGCAGACAGGAGGCCUGGGCCCAGGAGUGUGGAGGUGCCCACCAGCCCAUGCCUACUUAUUCAGAUUUUCCUUUGUGUUAAAGAGAAAUAAUUCAGUUUAAAUGUGUUAUUAAACCUACAGUUUUAUGUGGCUUAAUUUUUUAAAAUUUGCAGCUGAAUCCAACCCUCCUAGAAGACACUGUUAUUGCAAAAAUGUAAUAAAACAUUCCAUUUUCACCUUGCCUGAGUAACUUACUUGCAUCUCUGCAGUUAUACACUACUUGGAAAAGAAAGUCUAACCAGUGGAUAGAGAUAUAUAGAUAUAAAUAUCAAUAUAGACACAGAUAUAGAUACCAAUAAAGACACAGAUAUAGAAACAGUUAAAAAUAUGAAUACAGAUACAGAUAUAUAUACAGAUAUAGAUAAAGAUACAGAUACAGAUAUAGAUACAGAUACA